AUGGUAACAUAUUAUGUUACUCUAUUUGCCUCUCUCCUCAUUUACUACUUGCCACAUCACCAUUUUUGCUUAUGUGGCAUCUAUAUUAUUACCUAUGUUACUCCCACUAUGACCAGCCUAACAGAUUUUGCAACUUUGUUCCAUGGCCAGUUGAUUCUGGAGAUAACCUGCGCGAGGCUUGGAUGGGAGCUCCGGUCCAAGGAGACUUGCAAGACUACAGGGCAUGUUGUACUUAAGGACGUGAAAAUGCAAGCUAGGGCGUUCAGGCACACGGAUGUCAGCCUGAUCAAUAGGGUUAACAACAAAUUGGCCCAUGAGCUGGCAGCAGUUGCAAGAAGAUCGGGCGACUCCAAACUAAUUGCAUUGUUCUAA
rnacentral:rRNA from 1 species